rnacentral:rRNA from 1 species
CAGUAGCCGCGGGAAUACGGAGGGGGCUAGCGUUGUUCGGAAUUACUGGGCGUAAAGCGCACGUAGGCGGCUUGGUAAGUUAGAGGUGAAAGCCCGGAGCUCAACUCCGGAAUUGCCUUUAAGACUGCCGAGCUAGCAGGUGAGAGAGGUAAGUGGAAUUCCGAGUGUAGAGGUGAAAUUCGUAGAUAUUCGGAAGAACACCAGUGGCGAAGGCGGCUUACUGGCUCAUACUGGACGCUGAGGUGCGAAAGCGUGGGGAGCAAACAGGAUUAGAUACCCCCGUAGUCCCUGUCUCUUAUAC